rnacentral:rRNA from 1 species
UUCGGUGGGGGAAGAGUGGCGAACGGGUGAGUAACACGUGGGCAAUCUGCCCUGCACUCUGGGACAAGCCCUGGAAACGGGGUCUAAUACCGGAUAUGAGUCUCCAUCGCAUGGUGGGGGCUGUAAAGCUCCGGCGGUGCAGGAUGAGCCCGCGGCCUAUCAGCUUGUUGGUGAGGUAACGGCUCACCAAGGCGACGACGGGUAGCCGGCCUGAGAGGGCGACCGGCCACACUGGGACUGAGACACGGCCCAGACUCCUACGGGAGGCAGCAGUGGGGAAUAUUGCACAAUGGGCGCAAGCCUGAUGCAGCGACGCCGCGUGAGGGAUGACGGCCUUCGGGUUGUAAACCUCUUUCAGCAGGGAAGAAGCGUGAGUGACGGUACCUGCAGAAGAAGCGCCGGCUAACUACGUGCCAGCAGCCGCGGUAAUACGUAGGGCGCAAGCGUUGUCCGGAAUUAUUGGGCGUAAAGAGCUCGUAGGCGGCUUGUCGCGUCGGUUGUGAAAGCCCGGGGCUUAACCCCGGGUCUGCAGUCGAUACGGGCAGGCUAGAGUUCGGUAGGGGAGAUCGGAAUUCCUGGUGUAGCGGUGAAAUGCGCAGAUAUCAGGAGGAACACCGGUGGCGAAGGCGGAUCUCUGGGCCGAUACUGACGCUGAGGAGCGAAAGCGUGGGGAGCGAACAGGAUUAGAUACCCUGGUAGUCCACGCCGUAAACGGUGGGCACUAGGUGUGGGCAGCAUUCCACGUUGUCCGUGCCGCAGCUAACGCAUUAAGUGCCCCGCCUGGGGAGUACGGCCGCAAGGCUAAAACUCAAAGGAAUUGACGGGGGCCCGCACAAGCGGCGGAGCAUGUGGCUUAAUUCGACGCAACGCGAAGAACCUUACCAAGGCUUGACAUACACCGGAAACAUCCAGAGAUGGGUGCCCCCUUGUGGUCGGUGUACAGGUGGUGCACGGCUGUGUUCAGCUCGUGUCUUGAGAUGUUGGGUUAAGUCCCGCAACGAGCGCACCCCUUGUCCCGUGUUGCCACCACGCCCCUUGUGGGUGGUGGGGACUCACGGGAGACCGCCGGGGUCAACUCGGAGGAAGGUGGGGACGACGUCAAGUCAUCAUGCCCCUUAUGUCUUGGGCUGCACACGUGCUACAAUGGCCGGUACAAUGAGCUGCGAUACCGCGAGGUGGAGCGAAUCUCAAAAAGCCGGUCUCAGUUCGGAUUGGGGUCUGCAACUCGACCCCAUGAAGUCGGAGUCGCUAGUAAUCGCAGAUCAGCAUUGCUGCGGUGAAUACGUUCCCGGGCCUUGUACACACCGCCCGUCACGUCACGAAAGUCGGUAACACCCGAAGCCGGUGGCCCAA